rnacentral:rRNA from 1 species
GGGGAAUUGUUCGCAAUGGGCGAAAGCCUGACGACGCAAUGCCGCGUGGAGGAUGAAGGAUUUCGGUCCGUAAACUCCUUUCGACCGAGAUGAAGAUCCGCCGACCCAAUACGUCGGCGGAGUGACAGUAUCGAGGGAAGAAGCCCCGGCUAACUCCGUGCCAGCAGCCGCGGUAAUACGGGGGGGGCGAGCGUUGUUCGGAAUUACUGGGCGUAAAGGGUUCGUAGGUGGCUUGCUAAGUCAGACGUGAAAUCCCUCGGCUCAACCGGGGAAUUGCGUCUGAAACUGGCGAGCUUGAGUGCAGGAGAGGAACGCGGAAUUCCAGGUGUAGCGGUGAAAUGCGUAGAUAUCUGGAGGAACACCGGUGGCGAAGGCGGCGUUCUGGACUGCAACUGACACUGAGGAACGAAAGCCAGGGUAGCAA